GUGCUCACUUCAGCGGGAACAUAUAUUAAAAUUAGAAUGAUACAGAGAAGAUUAGCAUGGCCCCUGCACAAGGGUGACACACAAAUUCAUGAAGCAUUCCAUAUUUUA
rnacentral:snRNA from 1 species